GCAAGGAGCCAAGCAUGCGUGCCAUGAUCUUUCAGUCUUCUUCUUAAUUCUUCCUUAAUUCAGAUUCUUCAGACAUACAUAUGUGUAGUAGUGGAUUUGUUCUUCGAGAUGUUAAUUAGUGUUCCAUAGUUACAUAUUUCAUGUUGAUUUGUGUCUGCUUGGUUUAGAAUUGCUUUAAUUAGCACGGGCGGAACUUAUUAAGGAUACUGCAAAAUCGUUUGGUUUUUCUUGUUCAAUCUUGAUCUAGAUCACUUUGGGAGUUUUUAAUCUCUAUGAGAAAAGGUCUCUCUCUGGCCCCCUUUUCUUGUAGUUUAUAUUUAGAUCGCAUUCAUAGUUUUGACUCUAGCUCUCGC
rnacentral:lncRNA from 1 species